CGUUCAGAGAGAAGGCGGAGGAUACCCUCGCCGGCGUUGACCAGGAGGCGCGGCUUUAAGCGUCUGGCUCUGGGGAGAGCGCAGAGAGGGCUCCUGCCUGCAGCCCUUGCGCUGCAGGGUCCGCACGAACGUAGCGCGGGAGGAGGAGCCCGGGGGGCGCCGAUGCCCUUCCGCAGUGGACUGCGGUCCCCUUGGCGGCCCUGGGCAGGCAGAGGCCGGGCCGAGACGUCGCCGGAUCUCCGAGAGCGGCCAGAGCCACCUUCGGGACGUCGCCGGUCGCUUUGUCCCGGCGGAGGACUCGAAGCUCAGGUGCAGCGGAGGAAAUUGACAGGAAGCUGAGGCCUGUGGACCACAGACGAAGGAAGGGCCUUCGCACCCACCGUGCAUUUCAAAGGAGUGAACUGAGGGGAGCCUUGGAACUGCAAGCUGGCUGCAUCUCACCUGGGACACAUCACUGCAUGACCAACUUCUUCUGGAACCCUUGGGGCCAGCAGAGCUGCUGCCUGUUCUACCCUGGCCUCAGGCACCACCUUUGCCUAAAAAGCACCUGGCAGCAAGGAGAAACAUGAUGUCAUGAUGUCAUUAGAGCCAGAUGACUCCUCAGUUAUCAGUGCCCGGGCCAGCCCUGCCCAGGGUCACGGAGCACAGAAGUUGGACUAGGCCCCAGUCUCUCCCGACUCCAGGGCCACUGUCCUUUGCUUACAGACAUAUUAGCAAAAAUUAUUUAAAAGCAUUCGAUUUCUAAUAACAUUCUCGCUCCAUACCUAUCUCAGUGACUGCUGGAAACAGGUAGGCACUUCCGCCUUAGGCUCCAAGUCCAGGUGACCUUCCUUAGUGGCCAGUGUUGUUUUCUAAAACCACGAAUCUCAGAGUUGACUCUGGUAGGUUGAGUGUCCACACGGACACGUAGAAAUGCUGAUGACAUGUCUCUUGCCCGUGAUAGGAGUCUCUUAAGGGGCUUCCCUGGUGGCGCAGUGGUUGAGAAUCUGCCUGCCAAUGCAGGAGAGACGGGUUCGAGCCUUGGUCUGGGAAGAUCCCACAUGCCGCGGAGCAACUAGGCCCGUGAGCCACAACUACUGAGCCUGCGCGUCUGGAGCCCGUGCUCCGCAACAAGAGAGGCCACAAUAGUGAGAGGCCCGCGCACCGUGAUGAAGAGUGGCCCCCGCUCGCCGCAACUAGAGAAAGCCCUCGCACAGAAACGAAGACCCAACACGGCCAAAAAUAAAUAAAUUAAUUAAUUUUUAAAAAAAGCCUUUAUUAAAAAAAAAAAAAAAGUCUCUUAAGAGUAAGACACAACAGAAAUCAAAGUUGAAGAAGUGACAGAUGUCCAUAAAGUCUUCUCAGUGGAGGACUUGGUCCAAAUGGAUGAGGUUGGAGUUGGCAUCCUUCUCACAGGGAGACCAGGCUGGGUAUUUUGCUGGGAGCAGGCCUGUCGGAUUCCCUGGCUACCUAGAUGCUUAGCAGCCCUGGGAAAACCCAAGUCCACAGACCAGGGUUUUUCUGUUAGGUCUCAGGGUCCUGGCAGCUUGUCUUCUGCCUGUCCCUGUGCCUGUCCGGGCAGUUCCCCACCCUUAGUUCUUAUUACAACAGGCCCUCGCACCUCCCCCACUGCCACUCUCCUGACUCCAUGGGUGGACGCCUCUCUUGUGAGCUUCCCAAGCACCCUGCUUCCUGAGAGCCUACUGCUUCCCCAAAGCCCCAGAGCCCUGGAAGUUGCAGAGACCUGGGAAACAAAGCAGAAGGCUUUUCCAGGAUGUGACGCCUGCAGAGUCCCCCACGUGGCCUGGAGUUUCCAUAAUGAUGGUAACGAGUCUAAGAUUCUAAACUGAAAAGGCAGCCUCUUCAAGCUGGUUAAGUGAGACAGUGAUAGGGAAGAGGAAUCUGGGGGAAAAAGAGCUCCAAGGUGAAUUGCAGGGGGGGGCGGGGGGUAGUGUGUGUGUGCAGGGCGCAGAUCUGAGGUCCAUUUUUUUGUCUCCCACUCUCUGAAAUGACUUUCACACCUUUUUGUCACCCCCCCCAAACCUCCCAUGCCCUAACUCUCCUCCCUCUCAGCUGCUACACUGCUUCCUGUUUAACCAAGAAAACAGAUAAACCGCCUCUGAUUUUAUCAAUAGGCUGUGGACCCCACCCCCCUUCCUAAUCAAGGACAUCCCUCCUGCAACUGACCUCUCUCUACCUGCAUCACUAGGUUUUCCCUCCGUAUGGGAUUGUUGUCAAGCAAAUAAAAUCACUCUAGGAGAGUGAAUUUUUUUAAAUCAACUCUAUUGAGUUAUGAUGUGGAUAUAAAAGGCACCCAUUAUAAGUGCAAAGUUAGAUGAGUUUUGACACAUGUAUUCCCCUGGGUAACUGCCACCACCACUGUGAAGUCAGAGAUCAUUCCCUUUAACCCCAUGAGGUAUCCCACUGCUGAGGAGUGUUCCCUUGUAUGGAUGCGGCACAAUUUGUUCAUGCCUUCGCCUGUUGGUAUACAAUUGGGCUGUUUCUACUUUUUGGCUAUUAUGAACAAAAAGUGCAGUGAAUACUCAUGUAUAAGUCUUUGUGUGGAUGCAUGUUAUUUCUCUUAAGUAAAUAUCUACAGGCGGAAUAGCUGGGCCAUAUGAUAAUCUAUGUUUAGUUUUACUAGAAACUUCCAAACUUGUUCUCCAAAGUGGCUCUACCAUUUUACAUUUCCAUAGUGGUCCAUGAAAGUUCUAGAUGCUGCAAUUAGUAUUGCCAGUUUUUUCUCCCUAUCUUUAGCCAUUUUAUUGCAUGUGUAGAGGGGUAUGCAUUUUGGUUGUAAUUUGCAUUUUUGUUUUAUGACUAAUCGUGUUGAGCAUCUUUUCAGGUACUCAUUGGCUAUUCAAAUAUCAAGUACAUGUAUUGUCUCACAGUUUCCAUGGGUCCUGCAGGCUUGGCUGAGCUGGGCUUUCUGCUCACGGUCUCACAAGGUGUUGGCCAGGGCUGCAGGUCUUUUUCCAGUCACACAUGGUUGUUGGCAGAAUUCACUUCCUUGCAGCUGUAGAACCCGUGGUGAUUCAGGCCAAAGGGAAAGCUUUGCCGCUGCCUCUAGAGCCUCAUUUAAAAGGCUCACCUGAUUAGGUCAGGCCCACCCAUUGGUAAUCUCCCUUUUGACUGACUCAAAGUCAACUGAUCAGGAACCUUAAUUACAUCUGUCAGUCCCUUCAUAUAAUAUGAUGUAACCCAAUCACAGGAGUGACAUCCACAAUAUUCACUGGUCCCACACAUACUGUAGGGGAGAUUAUUAUACAUGGGCGUGGGUCAUCUUAGAAUUCUUCUUACCACACCCAUUUUCAGUUGGCUGGUUUGUCUCCUCCUCACUGUGUUAUAUGAGUGCUUUAUAAAUUCCAGAUACAAGUCCUGUACAGAUACAUGUAUUGCAAAUAUUUUUCUCCCAGUCGCUAACUUGCCUUUUCAUUUUCUUAAUGGUGUUUUUGGAAGAACCGAAAUUUUAAAUUUUGAUGAAGUCCGAUUUGUCAGCUUUUUCUUUUAUGGUUCACACUUCAUAUUUCCCCACAAGAAAUCUUUGCCUAUCUAAAGUUUACGCUAUUGUCUCCUAUGUUUUCUUUUAGAAGUUUUAUAGUUUUAUAUUUAGUUCUGUGACUCAUUUUAAGUCAGCUUUUGUGUAUCAUGUGAGAUAAGAGUUGAGAUUCACCUUCUUUUCCCAAAUGGAUAUACCAUUUUACCAGCACUAUCUGUUGAAAACACCGUCAUUUCCCCCAUUGAAUUACCUUGGCACUUUAAUUGAAAAUCAAUGAAUAUGGGUCUACUUCUAGACUAUUAUACCAUUGAUUUCUAUUUUUAUACUUAAAUCUAUAGUAACCUACUUGAUUACUGUAUAUUUACAUUGUCUUAAAAUUUAGACAGAUUACACCCUUAAGCUUUGUUCUUUUCCAAAAAUUUUUAUUUUAUGACCUUUUAAUUUCUGUAUAAAAUCUCAGCAUCAGCUUGUCAAAUUCUAAAAAUCAGAAAUAAGCCUGCUGGGAUCUUGAUUGGGAUUGCAUCGAAUAUGUAACUCAGCUUAGAGAGAAAUGCCAUCUAACAAUAUUGAGUCCUCUAAUCCAUAAGCCUGGUAUAUAUCUCCAUUUAUUUUCUCCCAGCUUCGCUUUAUAGUUUACAGCAUACAUGUUUUUUACAUAUUUCAUUAAAUUUUCCUUUAGUAUAUAUCACAUUUUUAGAUGCUUUUAUAAAUGGUAUUUAAAAUUUUCCUUUUCCAAAUGUUCAUUGUUAAUGUAUAGAAGUAUAAUUGAUUAUUGUGAUAUUGACCCUGUAUUUUGUGACUUAGCUAAAUUCACUUAAUAGUCUAGUAGAUUUUUUUUUAAGAUUCGUUAGAAUUUUCGACUACAUGAUCAUAUCAUCUGCAAAUAAAGUUUUGGUCUCUCCUUUCCAAUCUGUAUGCCUUUUUGCACUAGCUCGGACCUCCAGCACAAUGUUAAAAAAACAAAAAACAAAAAACUGGAGAGACCAGACAGACAUCUUCACCUCAUUCCCAUUACUAAGGAGGAAAGCCAGCCUUUCCUGAGGAUUAUUCAGUAGCUGCUAAGUCUCAGGCAACAGUUCUGAAUCACUUUCUCUCAAAGAAGCAUGCACAUACACAUAAAAUUUUAUAUAAAUUUCAGUGGAUUGACCUCCUUGGAGGCUGUAUAUGUACCUCAUUUGGUUGUAUGGAGCCCAAGUUAAUAAAUCUUUGACUACCAUCAGGCCCUACCUACGGAAAUAAGAGGAAGAUAAAAGUGGGCUUCCAGCUGCUUCAAGGGAAAUGGAAGACAAAGGGAAUCUCUGGACUACUGAGAGUUAUGACCAAACACCCCCGACUACCAGUCUAGGGCAGGUGGAUGCCUGUAUCCAUUUAUAUGAAGAUGGCAGUGCCUGGACCCUGAGCUGAGUUGAAGACAGAUGAAAUCUGAAAGACCAGGGACCAGAUCUUCCCUAAGGAAGGAGAGAGCAAUGGUGUCACCUUGAGAAGGUGAUGUUUUCAAGACCUGCCAAAUCUUCCUAAUUAGCAGGAUGGUAGACACCAAAGGGAACUAUGUGGAAUCUGUGACUGCACCCGCUGACUGUUCACAGCAUCCCAGGGUGCACAAAUGAUGUCCGUGCCAAUACAGCCUUCAACCCGCGUAAUUAUUACCAAAACUGGUCCUUUACUGGAAUAACUCCCUCACGCUUAACAAUCCUGGUGUUCCCAUCUCCUCAUGCCCAUGUCCCAAUGUGGGAAAACAGCUUACCCUCUGGGCACUUCUUUAGGGGAAAAGACCCCCUUUCUCUGUUGGAUUGGCUGGGCAGUGCAGGUGGGGCCAUCUCUGGGCAGCCAUUUGCUAAUAAGGAUACUCUUUACCUCGGAAGGUUCCAGUGAAUGAUGGAAGAGAUAGCAGACAUGAUGUUCUGAAAGUUCGUAUUGCCUUGCAAAUAGAGGGCAGUGUUUUCUGGCUCUUCUCCUUGCCCCCCCCCCAUAAAAAAACACGUGACCUGCUAGGGUGCUUAGGAGCAAAAUAUUACCCAUCUGCCCCUGGGGAGGCCCAGCUGAAUAAUGUCUCUUCCAAAAUCACCCGGCAUUUGGGGAAAUGGAGUGUGUACCUAUGUGAUAACCAGAUGUCAUGGAAGAAAGACAAGGGCACCCACCAUCAGUGCCACAUGGUAGGGUUUACGGGGUGGGGGGAUCCUACAAGCAAAAAAGUAGAGUGUACAGGAUUCCUGAGCUCCCAUUAUCCCAUAGAGAGCUGACUAAAUUAGGCAAAACUGGACCGGACACAUCAUGGACAACACCAUGGGAAAGAGGAGUCCUCAUGUCACAAAGCUCUAAAGAUGCAUGAGGAUGGUUUCUGGUAACUGACUGUACUGCUGAACUGAAUGAAUAAGCAUUUUCAGAACUCUAAUGAAAAACUGAUGAACUCAUAAAAGUGCUAACAAAAGAUCAAGAUGAAAAAAAAAUUAAUUACAUGGGACUGAGUGAACUGAUGGUGAUGAGUAUAAUUUUUGUGACUUUCUGUCUGAAUUAAAAAAGAAAAUCCCACAAGGACUCAGAGGCAAAGAACAUACAAAUCAAUUUUCACUGCAAAGUAAAGGAGCUGUUACAGUGGAGGAUUACUGGACUGAAUGUCAAUAUUAUGACAUAGUAUGAGUGUGUUUCAUGUUUGGUAAUUGCAAUCAUUGUUGCUUUUGUUGUGGUCAUCCAUGUACAAUGCU